CAGUCGCCACGGUAAUACGUAGGUCCCGAGCGUUGUCCGGAUUUAUUGGGCGUAAAGGGAGCGCAGGCGGUUUAGUAAGUCUGAAGUUAAAGGCAUUGGCUCAACCAAUGUAUGCUUUGGAAACUGUUUAACUUGAGUGCAAGAGGGGAGAGUGGAAUUCCAUGUGUAGCGGUGAAAUGCGUAGAUAUAUGGAGGAACACCGGUGGCGAAAGCGGCUCUCUGGCUUGUAACUGACGCUGAGGCUCGAAAGCGUGGGGAGCAAACAGGAUUAGAUACCCCCGUAGUCCCUGUCUCUUAUACA
rnacentral:rRNA from 1 species